GUUCUUGAACAAGGGUCUAUCUGACUUCAACUUGGCACUGGACCUGGGGUUCCUGACCAAGGCUAGGAAAUACACCUUCUUCAAGCCCAAGUUCAUCUUCUACGCCACCUACCUGUCCGAGAAGAUUGGGUACUGGAGGUACAUCACCAUCUUCAGGCACCUCAAGGCGAACCCAGAGUACCAGGUGUACCCCAUCUUCAAGUACUUCGAGAACUGGUGCCAGGAUGAGAACAGGCACGGUGACUUCUUCUCUGCCCUGCUAAAGGCUCAGCCGCAGUUCCUCAAUGACUGGAAGGCCAAGCUCUGGUCACGGUUCUUCUGCCUCUCGGUAAUUUC
rnacentral:lncRNA from 1 species